rnacentral:rRNA from 1 species
UACGUAGGUGGCAAGCGUUGUCCGGAUUUACUGGGUGUAAAGGGCGUGUAGGCGGGUCAGCAAGUCAGAUGUGAAAUCCCGGGGCUUAACUCCGGAACUGCAACUGAAACUGUAGAUCUUGAGUACUGGAGAGGAAAGUGGAAUUCCUAGUGUAGCGGUGAAAUGCAUAGAGAUUAGGAGGAACACCAGUGGCGAAGGCGGCUUUCUGGACAGUAACUGACGCUGAGGCGCGAAAGCGUGGGGAGCAAACA